rnacentral:rRNA from 1 species
GAUGAACGCUGGCGGCGUGCUUAACACAUGCAAGUCGAACGGAAAGGCCCUGCUUUUGUGGGGUGCUCGAGUGGCGAACGGGUGAGUAACACGUGAGUAACCUGCCCUUGGCUUUGGGAUAACUCCAGGAAACUGGGGCUAAUACCGGAUAGGAGCUCCUGCUGCAUGGUGGGGGUUGGCAUGUUUCGGCGGUUGGGGAUGGACUCGCGGCUUAUCAGCUUGUUGGUGGGGGAGUGGCUUACCAAGGCUUCGACGGGUAGCCGGCCUGAGAGGGUGACCGGCCACAUUGGGACUGAGAUACGGACCAGACGACUACGGGGGGCAGCAGUGGGGAGUAUUGCACAGUGGGGGGAGGCCUGAUGAAGCAGCGCCGCGGGCGGGAUGAAGGCCUUCGGGGUGUAAAGCGCUUUCGCCUGUGACGAAGCGUGAGUGACGGUAAUGGGUAAAGAAGCACCGGCUAACUACGUG